CAACUCCGAAUAUGGGCGGAUAAGCCGAAAGGCUCUCCGACGCUGCUGUUAUGCGUGGUUAGCCCUGUGUUCGGAGUUUUU
rnacentral:ncRNA from 1 species